rnacentral:rRNA from 1 species
CAUAAGCGGAGGAAAAGAAACCAACAGGGAUUGCCCCAGUACCGACGAGUGAAACGCCAAGACCUCAGAUUUGAAAUCUUGUUUCGGCACGAGUUGUAGAGGGUAGCCGGGAGUCUCUAUGGAGCCUCGGUGUCCAAGUCCCUUGGAACAGGGUGCCUGAGAGGGUGAGAGCCCCGUAGGUUGCUGCGCGAAGCUUUUGAGGCCCUGCUGACGAGUCGAGUUGUUUGGGAAUGCAGCUCCAAGCGGUUGGUAAAUUCCAUCUAAGGCUAAAUAUUGGCGAGAGACCGAUAGCGAACAAGUACUGUGAAGGAAAGAUGAAAAGCACUUUGAAAAGAGAGUGAAACAGCACGUGAAAUUGUUGAAAGGGAAGGGUAUUGGGCUCGACAUGGGGGGUGCGCACCGCUGUCUCUUGUAGGCGGCGCUCUGGGCGCCCUCUGGGCCAGCAUCGGUUCCUGCUGCGGGAGAAGGGGCUCCGGAAAGUGGCUCUUCGGAGUGUUAUAGCCGGGGCCAGAUGCCGCGUGUGGGGACCGAGGACUGCGGCUUCUGUCU